UACUCCGCCGUAUCGUACUGGAUGAGAACCUGCGUUCAGGUUCGAGCCGAGCGAAGCGAGACGACAACGCACAGCGUUGCCCGCAGGGCGAGGCCCAAGGCCGAGUCAAUCCUGCACGACCCACCA
rnacentral:sRNA from 1 species